rnacentral:rRNA from 1 species
ACGUACACUCCUACGGGAGGCAGCAGUGGGGAAUUUUGGACAAUGGGCGAAAGCCUGAUCCAGCCAUGCCGCGUGCAGGAUGAAGGCCUUCGGGUUGUAAACUGCUUUUGUACGGAACGAAACGGCCUUUUCUAAUAAAGAGGGCUAAUGACGGUACCGUAAGAAUAAGCACCGGCUAACUACGUGCCAGCAGCCGCGGUAAUACGUAGGGUGCAAGCGUUAAUCGGAAUUACUGGGCGUAAAGCGUGCGCAGGCGGUUAUGUAAGACAGUUGUGAAAUCCCCGGGCUCAACCUGGGAACUGCAUCUGUGACUGCAUAGCUAGAGUACGGUAGAGGGGGAUGGAAUUCCGCGUGUAGCAGUGAAAUGCGUAGAUAUUCGGAGGAACACCGAUGGCGAAGGCAAUCCCCUGGACCUGUACUGACGCUCAUGCACGAAAGCGUGGGGAGCAAACAGGAUUAGAAACCCGGGUAGUCCCA